UACGGAGGGUGCAAGCGUUAUCCGGAUUCACUGGGUUUAAAGGGUGCGUAGGUGGGUAUGUAAGUCAGUGGUGAAAUCCCCGAGCUUAACUUGGGAACUGCCGUUGAUACUAUAUAUCUUGAAUAUCGCGUAGGUAAGCGGAAUAUGUCAUGUAGCGGUGAAAUGCUUAGAUAUGACAUAGAACACCAAUUGCGAAGGCAGCUUACUUCACGAUUAUUGACACUGAGGCACGAAAGCGUGGGGAGCAAACCGG
rnacentral:rRNA from 1 species